ensembl:lincRNA
CUUUCUUUAAGUUAUUAUCAAAUAAUAAUCACUUGGAAAUAGGAUAACCUUUUAUUACAGCACACAGAAGGAUGUAAGCCAGGAGAUAUUUACAUAAUGUAAAGCAGACUUCCUGGCUUUGUCAACCAGUGGAUAUCUUUUGUUUAACCCAUCAAUUGUACGAUCCACUCUUUCCUGUGCAAAUAGAAAGAGAUUUCAUAUAUGUUCACAAAAAGCACAAAAAGCACAAAAGGGUACAAAAAGGAAAUGUUUAAAUUUAGAACCCCCACAUCUCGUCUUUCACAACUCCACCCUCAAAGCCUGUUUAGGUUUCUGAAUUCCUCCAGUUCCCCUGGUGUUUUCCUAUUUUGACUGUUGAGUUGAAGGACUCUAACAUCACAGGAGUUUCAGAUAAUACAAAAAGGCUUACUUCCCAUCAUGCAAUUAAACUCCUAAUUUUGCUUUGUCUUGAGGAAGGGAAGUCUCAGAAUACUUAGUGAAAAAUACUUCUGGAAAUAAGUAGAGGUUCAGACUGGAUAUGAGCCGGCUUCUGAACUGUAACCAUAAAACAAUGUGAUAAGGAAUUAUUUUUUUGCAUACAUCUGAACCCUGUGAGUUAUAUAAAUGUUUGUUUCUACAUUUAUACAACUAUCACAAUUUGUGGGUUUCACAAGUGAAGAGUUCACAGAUUACAGGUAACAUCAUAUGGAUGUCAUGACAAUGGAAGAUGUGAAUUGUAACUGACUGGUUUUACAAGAUGGUACAAUGGAUGACAUAAACAGCUCUAACUCUAAGCACAAAGAUUCUAAUGGAUUUGUUAAUAAAGUAUUUAAUAUUUCCCUAGACGUGGAGAAUACAACAGGCAUAAUGAGAAUACAGGAACCUGACCUCUGUGAAACACCUGUUGUGUGUCAGGGUGUAGGUAAGGAGAAAGUGGAAUUAAACAGGAAGCCUAAAAACACUGGAAUCUGGAGAAUCAUCACCAGGAAGAAGAAUCCAACAGGAUAUGGAAGAAGGCCCCAUUCUAUGAUUCUUCCUGGAGAGACUGUGGUACCUAAGUUAUCAUUUGUAGACAAGGUGAAAUCUUUCAAGAAACUGAAGUCUACAUCAGUUUUUAGAGGGAAAGGAAGCAAGAAUGCAAAGUUCAGCACUAUUCUUAAAGAUGAACAGGAAGAGGAGUCACACUUCAGAGACCCCUCCUCCCACGUAUUUUCACAAAGGAACUUGUUCAGAAAUCGAGGUAAAAGACAUUCCUACGCAGGCUGCACCAAAGACUUUGACUGCUCAUUUGAAGAUGUAGACAUUACAGUACCUUCUGAAAACAUUGAUAAUGAAAACCAAUGGCUCAGGGAACUCUCAAAUCAUCAGAAUGGUUUUAAAUCCAUUGAGGGUGUGUCUUACAUAAAGAGGACACAUACCAAUUUCUCAAACUGUAACAAUGCAACUCUGCUUGAAGAAUACAGUAUAAAGGACUGCCCAAAGACAUUUCAGGGAGGAAGAAAAUCUAAAGGUGCUGAUGUUUGGAGUUACCUAAGGAAAAUUUCUUUUAUUGGGAAAGGGAACUCAAAUCUAGCAGAAAAAAGUUUUGACUCUGAAUUAAAUACCUUUGACAAGACAAUUGAUUCAGAUUGUGCCUCCUCUGACUUUGAAUGUAUCAGAGAUCCUAACUCCUCCCCUAAACACGCAAGUGCUGAUACCAAAGGUAAUCAUUUUGGUGGUUUAUUCAGGUGGUUUAGUAAUGUGGCUGAAACAGCAAGGAAGUGGAGAAACUCUUCACGGUCUUUUUCACCCCCAGAAGAAGGCCACUCUUCUUUGGGAACUCAUAGUGCUCAGAGAUCUGGUGAGUUUAGUCAAGUUAUAUCAUUAAGCUCAAAGAAUGAAACUAAGAUCAUGUCCCCAACUCCCAAGACUGUUCUGUCCUCAGACCCAAGUUUAUGUGAUACCCUUUCAUCUCCUAGUUUAAUAGGAGAAUCUCCACAGGUGACUUUAAAGUCAUGGAGAACCUGUCCAGAUUCCCCCAGUCCUAAUGGAUACCUGUCUGUAGCAGCUGAAGCAUCUCCACACUCACCUCACAAAUUGGUGGCUUCUAUAGAGAAUCGCGAAAGCCACAUACCUGCUGAAAGUGGGAUUUGCCUUGAAAAAGAACCAGAGUCAGAUAGAACUUCAAGCCACAAUGAUACAGGAAAUUGUCUAGAUUCCAUGAAUGACUUUGUUUCUACCAAAGAAAGACAGGAUCAAACUGGGCACAAGAAUGAUGAAAAUGAAGAAAAUUACUCAAACAGCAAAACUGCUCCACAUCACUCAGGAAAUAAGGAUCUGCCCGAUGACCACUGUUUGGAGAUGGAAAACCAACAUGUCCCAAGCCUGUCAGAGCUCAACAGCUCCUCUUUAAUCGUCACUUCACCAAAAUGGAAGAAGCGUCGCCCAACCUCAGCCUACACUAUGAUUCUGAACCUACAGAGUCCAAUUCUAGAGGAGGGGUCUGUUUCAGCCUUUGAAGCCAAGACUGGCCAUGUGGAUGAAGACCCAACAGCUUUGAAAAGCCAGAUUUUUCCUAACAAUCAGUCUGACGUCCCCCUGAAAAGGCCAGUUAUGCGACAGAGACCUCAUUCUGUAAUAGAUGGGGCUUCUGUCACCAAGACAGAGUCUCUGCAUCCUCUCAGACCACUCUCUCGUCCUCCAGGACACUCUCCCUGUGGUUCAUCUUUUAAAGCCGCACUGCAAAGAUGUCAUUCUCUGCCACUUUCACAGAGCACUCCAGCAGGCUUGGAUGAAGCAGGCUGGAGCCACUUGCUGCACCAACCAGCUGAGGCCAUGUUGACACGUGAUGGUGAUGGAGGCACAAGCAGGAGGCGGAGGCUAAUAAGGCCUGGAGCUGAACAGCUGCUAGUCAAUAAUGUAAGUGAAAGAGAAAAUGCUUUCUCAGUCUUUAGACCGCACACCAAAAGGUCAUUGAGCUGUGCGGUAAAGCACACAUUUCACAGGCAAAUGUAGACGCAGUUUAUUUUCAUGUCUUUCUCCAAAGACGGAAGUCUUCAGUUGUCAUAAAUUGGCACAAACCAGCAAGAGGAGCUUAAAAGCUGGUAUACUAUGUUAUAAUUGGGUAAUAGUCUUGGGAAUAAAUGCUGUAAAUACUCAAAAAGGUAUUCUUGUCUGUCAACAUGGGUAUAUUCACCAUUAUACAUGUAUUCCAGCCAGCGUGUCGCCAU